UGGGGAAUUUUGGACAAUGGGGGAAACCCUGAUCCAGCCAUCCCGCGUGUGCGAUGAAGGCCUUCGGGUUGUAAAGCACUUUUGGCAGGAAAGAAACGUCAUGGGUUAAUACCCCGUGAAACUGACGGUACCUGCAGAAUAAGCACCGGCUAACUACGUGCCAGCAGCCGCGGUAAUACGUAGGGUGCAAGCGUUAAUCGGAAUUACUGGGCGUAAAGCGUGCGCAGGCGGUUCGGAAAGAAAGAUGUGAAAUCCCAGAGCUCAACUUUGGAACUGCAUUUUUAACUACCGGGCUAGAGUGUGUCAGAGGGAGGUGGAAUUCCGCGUGUAGCAGUGAAAUGCGUAGAUAUGCGGAGGAAAACCGAUGGCGAAGGCAGCCUCCUGGGAUAACACUGGCGCUCAUGCACGACAGCGUGGGGAGCAAACAGG
rnacentral:rRNA from 1 species